GUGACCAUCUCCCGAAUUAAUUAAGUGAUUCAUUUGUUGCUAAUCGGGAGAUGGUCACCUACAUAAAUACCUGCAGCUCUCUGCACUCC